rnacentral:rRNA from 1 species
GAGUUUGAUCAUGGCUCAGAUUGAACGCUGGCGGCAUGCCUUACACAUGCAAGUCGAACGGCAGCACGGGAGCUUGCUCCUGGUGGCGAGUGGCGAACGGGUGAGUAAUGCAUCGGAACGUAUCCUGGAGUGGGGGAUAACGUAGCGAAAGUUACGCUAAUACCGCAUAUUCUGUGAGCAGGAAAGCGGGGGACCUUCGGGCCUCGCGCUCUUGGAGCGGCCGAUGUCGGAUUAGCUAGUUGGUGAGGUAAAGGCUCACCAAGGCGACGAUCCGUAGCAGGUCUGAGAGGAUGAUCUGCCACACUGGAACUGAGACACGGUCCAGACUCCUACGGAGGCAGCAGUGGGGAAUUUUGGACAAUGGGGGCAACCCUGAGUUCAGCCAUGCCGCGUGAGUGAAGAAGGCC